rnacentral:rRNA from 4 species
AAAUUGAAGAGUUUGAUCAUGGCUCAGAUUGAACGCUGGCGGCAGGCCUAACACAUGCAAGUCGAACGGUAACAGGAAGCAGCUUGCUGCUUCGCUGACGAGUGGCGGACGGGUGAGUAAUGUCUGGGAAACUGCCUGAUGGAGGGGGAUAACUACUGGAAACGGUAGCUAAUACCGCAU